rnacentral:rRNA from 1 species
CGCACGGGUGAGUAACACGUAUCCAACCUGCCGUCUACUCUUGGCCAGCCUUCUGAAAGGAAGAUUAAUCCAGGAUGGCAUCAUGAGUUCACAUGUCCGCAUGAUUAAAGGUAUUUUCCGGUAGACGAUGGGGAUGCGUUCCAUUAGAUAGUUGGCGGGGUAACGGCCCACCUAGUCAACGAUGGAUAGGGGUUCUGAGAGGAAGGUCCCCCACAUUGGAACUGAGACACGGUCCAA